AGUGAACGCUGGCGGUAGGCCUAACACAUGCAAGUCGAACGGCAGCACAGUAAGAGCUUGCUCUUACGGGUGGCGAGUGGCGGACGGGUGAGGAAUACAUCGGAAUCUACUUUUUCGUGGGGGAUAACGUAGGGAAACUUACGCUAAUACCGCAUACAACCUACGGGUGAAAGCAGGGGAUCUUCGGACCUUGCGCGAUUGAAUGAGCCGAUGUCGGAUUAGCUAGUUGGCGGGGUAAGGGCCCACCAAGGCGACGAUCCGUAGCUGGUCUGAGAGGAUGAUCAGCCACACUGGAACUGAGACACGGUCCAGACUCCUACGGGAGGCAGCAGUGGGGAAUAUUGGACAAUGGGCGCAAGCCUGAUCCAGCCAUACCGCGUGGGUGAAGAAGGCCUUCGGGUUGUAAAGCCCUUUUGUUGGGAAAGAAAAGCAGCAGGUUAAUACCCCGCUGUUCUGACGGUACCCAAAGAAUAAGCACCGGCUAACUUCGUG
rnacentral:rRNA from 1 species